UACGAAGGUCCCAAGCGUUAUCCGGAUUUAUUGGGUUUAAAGGGUGCGUAGGCGGACUCUUAAGUCAGUGGUGAAAGCCCCAAGCCUAACUUGGGAACUGCCAUUGAUACUGAUGGUCUUGAGUACAUUUGAGGUGGGCGGAAUGUGUCAUGUAGCGGUGAAAUGCUUAGAUAUGACACAGAACACCGAUUGCGAAGGCAGCUCACUAAACUGUAACUGACGCUGAGGCACGAAAGCGUGGGGAGCAAACAGG
rnacentral:rRNA from 1 species